CCUACGGGAGGCUGCAGUGGGGAAUAUUGGACAAUGGGCGAAAGCCUGAUCCAGCCAUGCCGCGUGUGUGAAGAAGGCCUUCGGGUUGUAAAGCACUUUCAGUGGGGAAGAAAGCCUUGGGGCUAAUACCCUCGAGGAAGGACAUCACCCACAGAAGAAGCACCGGCUAACUCCGUGCCAGCAGCCGCGGUAAUACGGAGGGUGCGUGCGUUAAUCGGAAUUACUGGGCGUAAAGCGCGCGUAGGCGGUCUGAUAAGCCGGUUGUGAAAGCCCCGGGCUCAACCUGGGAACGGCAUCCGGAACUGUCAGGCUAGAGUGCAGGAGAGGAAGGUAGAAUUCCCGGUGUAGCGGUGAAAUGCGUAGAGAUCGGGAGGAAUACCAGUGGCGAAGGCGGCCUUCUGGACUGACACUGACGCUGAGGUGCGAAAGCGUGGGUAGCAAACAGGAUUACAUACCCUAGUAGUC
rnacentral:rRNA from 1 species